CGCACAACUUCCUUAUAAAAACCCCAAACUCACCGCCAAUCACGCAGCCUGUCCGUGCCUUCUUUCCUCCUCUCCAAAGCUAAAACCCUACAGAACAUUCACGCGCAAAUCCCAUUAUCAAUAUGUGAUUUAGGCCGCACAGGAAUCGAAGUUACAUCAAGAACUCUGCAAUGGGUCAAGAACAAGAAGGAGGAGGAGCUGAAGAGUACUUGUUCAAGAUUGUGCUAAUAGGUGACUCUGCUGUGGGAAAAUCUAAUUUACUAUCCAGGUUUGCAAGAAAUGAGUUUGAUAACAAUUCUAAGGCUACUAUUGGGGUAGAGUUUCAGACCCAGGUGGUGGAUAUUGAUGGCAAACAAAUCAAGGCACAGAUCUGGGACACUGCUGGCCAAGAGAGGAACAGAACAAUAACAGACCCUUUUUAUAGGGGUGCCGACGGGAUCAUUUUUGUUUAUGAUGUGACACAGAAAAGAUCCUUUACCAGCAUAACAAGCUUCUGGACUAAAGAAGUAGAACAACGCUCCCCAAAGAAGGAUUGCGUCAAGAUAUUAGUUGGAAAUAAAGUUGAUAAAUGUCAGGAGUCUCAAAAAGAAGUAAGUACUGAAGAAGGAAUGGCUUUGGCAAAACAGCAUGGAUUUUUAUUUUUUGAAUCGAGUGCUAAAACUAAAGAAAAUGUGAUGAAAUGCUUUCAAGAACUGGCACUCAAGAUGUUGGAGCAAUUACAAAAGCAAAGGCAGGAGGAAUUAGAGAAGAAAAGGAAAGAGGAAGAAGAAAAGAAACAACGAGAGACACCAAAGAAUAAACCACCAGAGCAACAGGAACCUAAACCUAAACCCGAAUCUAAAUCUACAACUGAAUCCCAACCAUCUUCAUACACUGGAGUGCCAGGUGGUGGCAGCGGUGGAGGUAAAGGUGGCUGUUGUUAAAAAUCUGAGUUAUUUAGUUAUUGUUUAAAUCCGAUCUAUCAUAAACCAAUGACAGAAUAUAUAUAUAGUAAUAUUCAUAUGUAAAAUAAGUGGAAUCUACUUGCUUGUAUUUUAAAUCAUGAUGAAUUAAGUUUUGCAAACCUUUUAU
rnacentral:misc_RNA from 1 species